rnacentral:rRNA from 1 species
UAGCGAAGAGGAUUAGAUACCCUCGUAGUCCCAGCCGUAAACGGUGCACACUUGCUGUGGGCGGAUUCGACCCCGUCCGUGGCGAAGCUAACGCGAUAAGUGUGCCGCCUGGGGAGUACGGUCGCAAGAUUAAAACUCAAAGAAAUUGACGGGGGCCUGCACAAGCGGUGGAGUAUGUGGCUUAAUUCGAUGCAACGCGAAGAACCUUACCUGGCCUUGACAUGUAGUGGACCGGGUGCGAAAUCACCCUUUCCUUCGGGACUGCUACACAGGUGCUGCAUGGCUGUCGUCAGCUCGUGUCGUGAGAUGUUGGGUUAAGUCCCGCAACGAGCGCAACCCCCGUGUUCUGUUGCCACCCGGAUGAGAAUCCGGAGCACUCUGGACAGACUGCCUGGUUUCAACCAGGAGGAAGGUGGGGAUGACGUCAAGUCAGUAUGGCCCUUACGGCCAGGGCUGCACACGUACUACAAUGCCUGAUAUAAUGGGAAGCGAGACCGCGAGGUGGAGCAAAUCCUCAAAAUCAGGCCCAGUUCAGAUUGUAGGCUGCAACUCGCCUACAUGAAGGAGGAAUCGCUAGUAAUGCCGUAUCAGCUACGACGGCGUGAAUACGUUCCCAGGCCUUGUACACACCGCCCGUCACAUCAUGAAAGUCGAUUGUACCCGAAGUCGCUGAGUUAACCGCAAGGAAACAGGUGCCGAAGGUAUGGUUGGUAAUUGGGAUGAAGUCGUAACAAGGUAGCCGUAGGGGAACCUGUGGCUG